CAGAGCAAGGGUCCCAGUGCAGGAGAUUUAUUUGGGAGAGUAUCCCAGAGAGGGAGCAAUGCGAUAGGGAAGGCACACGGUGAGUGCCCGGAUGCUGAUGGGCAAGUGGCUGCCGUGGGCCACUGGGGACUCGGAGAGACUGUGUAGAGCGCAGAGCAGACUUGGCGCAGCUAGGAGAGGGAAAUGGACGCCUUGCCCAGCAACUGUCCCCACACUGCUCUCUGCUGCUUCCCGGGGCAUUCUGGGGACUCUCAGGCCAGGAGGUGGGUACAUUUCUGAGUCAAAAGGGAGAGCCUACAGGCUUAUAAGGGAUAGAUUGACGCUAAGGGGCUAUGCCGGGACACCAAGAACCUGGCCACAGCUUUCUUGCCGCAAUCCCUUCUGGGGAUAAAUCCGGGUUGUCCCAGCAUCCUCAGUACAGUUCACCUGGUGCCUGGCAGCCUGGCACUGAUACGCCAUCCAGGGGGAGUGAUCUUCCAUACAGAAGCAGCUCGCUCACUCUCUCUCCCUCUCCCCCCCCCUUGCACUGUCUCCCUUAUUGCCUCAGGCAAACAGCCCUAGCCUCUCAGAGAAGAAAAAAAUAUGCAUCACAUCCCAGUCCAUGUGCCCGGGUAACCACAGAGGUCAAGUGUAGUGCUUCCGUCAUUCCUUCCAGGCUCUCAGGGAGCAGUCCCCUCCCCACCCACCCCCCAACACAGCUUAGCGCCCUGUUCUGGGUGGGGGAUGGGGGGAGACUAGAGGCUCCCAGCAAGGCAUCGGUUCUUGCCAUAGAAAUCUGCUCAUGGGAAAUCCAGCGUGUCCUCUCUCUAACCUUUUAUAUCCUCUUCUGGACUUCAAGUCCUUUAACUGGUUCUUUGAUAUUUCCUUUGAAAAAGAAUCUGCAUUGUGGUUUCCUGUUGGAAUGUCUUAGCUACUGUCUGGCGCCCCAGGUGAAACUGGCAGUUUCCGGUCCUUGCCCAGAGAUUCAGCUCUGGUGUGGGCGGAGCACAGCCUGCCCCCCCACCCCCACACUCCGAUAUCCCACCCCCACACUACUCGUGCCCU
rnacentral:lncRNA from 1 species